CGUAGGGAGCAAGCGUUGUCCGGAAUCAUUGGGCGUAAAGCGCGCGUAGGCGGCCCGAUAAGUCCGUUGUGAAAGUCAAAGGCUCAACCUUUGAAUGCCGAUGGAUACUGUCGGGCUAGAGUCCGGAAGAGGCGAGUGGAAUUCCUGGUGUAGCGGUGGAAUGCGCAGAUAUCAGGAGGAACACCAAUAGCGAAGGCAGCUCGCUGGGACGGUACUGACGCUAAGGCGCGAAAGCGUGGGGAGCGAACAGGAUUAGAUACCCUGGUAGUCCACGCCGUAAACGAUGGGCACUAGGUGUGGGAGGUGUCGACUCCUCCCGUGCCGUCGCUAACGCACUAAGUGCCCCGCCUGGGGAGUACGGCCGCAAGGCUA
rnacentral:rRNA from 1 species